ACUGCCUGCUCCUCUACGUAUUUCCAGCAUUCCUGUUUUUAUUACAGAUUUACAGCACCUGGAGUUU